AACGAACGCUGGCGGCAGGCUUAACACAUGCAAGUCGAACGCACCUUUCGGGGUGAGUGGCAGACGGGUGAGUAACGCGUGGGAAUCUACCCUUCUCUACGGGAUAGCUCCGGGAAACUGGAAUUAAUACCGUAUACGUCCUGAGGGAGAAAGAUUUAUCGGGGAAGGAUGAGCCCGCGUUGGAUUAGCUAGUUGGUGGGGUAAAGGCCUACCAAGGGGACGAUCCAUAGCUGGUCUAAGAGGAUGAUCAGCCACAUUGGGACUGAGACACGGCCCAAACUCCUACGGGAGGCAGCAGUGGGGAAUAUUGGACAAUGGGCGCAAGCCUGAUCCAGCCAUGCCGCGUGAGUGAUGAAGGCCCUAGGGUUGUAAAGCUCUUUCAGUGGGGACGAUAAUGACGGUACCCACAGAAGAAGCCCCGGCUAACUUCGUG
rnacentral:rRNA from 1 species